rnacentral:lncRNA from 1 species
UUCACAUCGCUAGCAUUUGCCCUGUAAAUAUUAUGAUCAUCAGCAAAUUUUUAAUCUACAGAAGUAGCGCUGAAUACUAAUGCAUUAAAUGCUUGCUGCAGAUAAAGCUAGCAGAAUAUUCAGAGGCUUUAGGUAACUGAACAUAAAAAAGGAAAUGGUCGGUAAGACAUUGAUUCAAGAAACAUCAGAUCACUAUAUAUGAAAAUGUGCAUGUACAUGCGAUCGGUGGGGCAUCUAAAUAAGAGNAUGCUUGCUGCAGAUAAAGCUAGCAGAAUAUUCAGAGGCUUUAGGUAACUGAACAUAAAAAAGGAAAUGGUCGGUAAGACAUUGAUUCAAGAAACAUCAGAUCACUAUAUAUGAAAAUGUGCAUGUACAUGCGAUCGGUGGGGCAUCUAAAUAAGAGCGAUCAAUGAGUUUGAAAAUGAAUUAGUCAAGUAAGAUGUUUGCAUUUAUUUCAGUAGGAAAAUCAGUGAAUGAUCUAGAUUCCACUUGCCAUUAUUACUCUCGAUACAACGUAGGUAAGUAUGAUGGAACCAUACAGAGAAGUUGACAAGCAUAAAUACAGGAUCAUGAAGAAUUUCUCGGAGUAAGUUGAGAAAUGAGUGAAAUAUUCAAGUUAGUACCCG